rnacentral:rRNA from 1 species
CAGCAGCCGCGGUAAUACGUAGGUGGCAAGCGUUGUCCGGAAUUAUUGGGCGUAAAGGGCUCGCAGGCGGUUUCUUAAGUCUGAUGUGAAAGCCCCCGGCUCAACCGGGGAGGGUCAUUGGAAACUGGGAAACUUGAGUGCAGAAGAGGAGAGUGGAAUUCCACGUGUAGCGGUGAAAUGCGUAGAGAUGUGGAGGAACACCAGUGGCGUAGGCGACUCUCUGGUCUGUAACUGACGCUGAGGAGCGAAAGCGUGGGGAGCGAACAGGAUUAGAUACCCGGGUAGUCCCUGUCUCUUAUAC